ACCUAGACUAAGGCCAAGAGAAUAGCAUGGUAGAGUUGACAAGCCGAAUACUUAUCUAAAGCAAGAUUCUCUCUUGCACAUAACCUAUUCCUAGAGUGAAAUCUGGGUUUGGAGUAUUGCUGAUGACAGCUAA
rnacentral:ribozyme from 2 species